AAAAAAAAAAAAAAAAAUCACCGCGCUUAAAUAUAAGUGAAAAAUGGAAAUAAUAGGCAAAAUAGAUUCAUUUUAUUGUGUAGUGCCCAAGUAACGAUACUUGGUGCCCAAGUCACGUGACUUGGUGCCCAAGCACGUUACUUGGUGCCCAAGUAGUUCAAAGAAGUAUACAAAACAUUGUGUGAGAUUUUGGACAAGAGGGAGUGCUCAUGACAACUAGGGGUAAUAAUGUUAGUAGCUCAUUAUGAAGUUAAGUUAAACAAGAAAACACUACUUUGAUUAUAUAUAUAUUGCAAGUUAGAGUAAGAGUUUAUUUACUAAGGAAGGGGAAUUAACAAGGAAGUGGUAGAAGAUUGAAGAACUCACAAGGAAAGGAUAGAAGAUUAGAGCACUAGCAAGGAAUUAGCAAGAAAAGGGGUAAAAUAUUGAAGAAGUAGCAAGGAAGGGUAAAAGAUUCGUAUAGUAUUCAAGAAAAUCAGCUAAAUACAACUCAUCCAUAACAGUCCUAUUUAAGGUAAAUACUCUUUACCCUCCCUGAUUUAUAGUGGUGCAUUUAUGGUAAAGGAGUUGAUGGUGAAUAUCAGUUUAAAAAUACUGUUGGUCCCCACUCCAUCACACAAAUUUGUCCACACACAAGCAC
rnacentral:lncRNA from 1 species